rnacentral:tRNA from 1 species
GCCGAAGUGGCGCAAUGGUAGCGCAAGCGAUUUGUAAUCGCUAGGUUGGGGGUUCGAAUCCCCCCUUCGGCUCCA